AUUUAGCACUAAUGAUUGAUAGUGCCAGAUUCACAGCACAGGGAAAGUAAGUGCACUGUUCUACAGAACACCACAUGGUGGGACAAACUGCUCUUCCCCUGACUGCUCUACCAGUGUGCCUCAACCCUCACCUUGAAGGACCACCAUCUCAAGGAAUGAGGGUAAUUCAGUCUCUAUUGACAGAGCCCUUCCCUGCU
rnacentral:sRNA from 1 species